rnacentral:rRNA from 1 species
AUUGAACGCUGGCGGCAGGCCUAACACAUGCAAGUCGAACGGUAGCACAGAGAGCUUGCUCUUGGGUGACGAGUGGCGGACGGGUGAGUAAUGUCUGGGAAACUGCCUGAUGGAGGGGGAUAACUACUGGAAACGGUAGCUAAUACCGCAUAACGUCGCAAGACCAAAGAGGGGGACCUUCGGGCCUCUUGCCAUCAGAUGUGCCCAGAUGGGAUUAGCUAGUAGGUGGGGUAACGGCUCACCUAGGCGACGAUCCCUAGCUGGUCUGAGAGGAUGACCAGCCACACUGGAACUGAGACACGGUCCAGACUCCUACGGGAGGCAGCAGUGGGGAAUAUUGCACAAUGGGCGCAAGCCUGAUGCAGCAACGCCGCGUGAGGGACGACGGCCUUCGGGUUGUAAACCUCUUUUAGUAGGGAAGAAGCGAAAGUGACGGUACCUGCAGAAAAAGCACCGGCUAACUACGUG